rnacentral:rRNA from 1 species
UAGUCCACGCCGUAAACGAUGGAUACUAGCUGUCCGGGGCCUUGAGCCUUGGGCGGCCAAGCGAAAGUGAUAAGUAUCCCACCUGGGGAGUACGUUCGCAAGAAUGAAACUCAAAGGAAUUGACGGGGGCCCGCACAAGCGGUGGAGCAUGUGGUUUAAUUCGAUGAUACGCGAGGAACCUUACCAGGGCUUAAAUGCAUUACGACAGGUCUAGAGAUAGAUUUUCCUUCGGGCGUUUUGCAAGGUGCUGCAUGGUUGUCGUCAGCUCGUGCCGUGAGGUGUCAGGUUAAGUCCUAUAACGAGCGCAACCCCUGCCGUUAGUUGCCAGCAUGUAAAGAUGGGGACUCUAACGGGACUGCCGGUGCAAACCGUGAGGAAGGUGGGGACGACGUCAAAUCAUCACGGGCCCUUACGUCCUGGGGCCACACACGUGCUACAAUGGCCGGUACAGCGGGGAAGCCAUGCGGUAACGCAGCGCGGGAUCCACAAAACCGGGUCACAGUUCGGGAUCGGGGGUCUGGCAAC